UACCCUCUGCUACACCUUUACUUUUGCAACCUUUGGUUCAUUGUACUGGUAUUAGCAGGCACUAUCAAGAGGCUUACUGGUCUGGCAACUGGGAUAGCCUUUGAACGAGAUUGGGUGGUACUGGCCAAUUGCUUUGGCCCAAGCAAACACAAUGCUCAGUCAAAUUGAUCUUCUUUGCGAGUGAAAUGAUGGAAGGUGCUGGAGAGAGGGGACCCACAGCUGGGAUCAUGUCUUAUUCUUUUGCUUCUUGUCUGCGUAACUAACAGACUCUCGAGGGGAGUACUCAAUCGCCAAGUUCGCUUGUACCUGUGGCAAAUUGUGCAGACCAAGGGAAUUUCUUGCUGCUGGAAAUCUAGGAGAAACUGCUGUUCUACCUGUUAUAUUAUUCUCCUUAGGUAUGUAUUUUCUGUUGUUAAUUUCAUUGGGUAUGUCAGAGGAGUUUUAUGCUGUCUUUUCUGAAUUGCAUCGUGGAAAGGGACAAAGGGUUAUGGAUUCCAUCAAGCAUGGAUGGUUUGAAUAUAGGCAGCAGCCUGUUCUCCCUGCAAACCUUGCAUAUGUGUUACUUUACUUCAAUGUUGUCGGGAGGCCUGAUGACCUUGUUCUUAACACAGCAGGUUGAGUUUAGUUCUCUGCUACCCGAUACAAAUUUUCCAUUAUAGUGCUGUUGGUAUGUAAACUGUUAGAUCUCUAAUGUUGUAUUUAUCUGGAGCAUAUAAACAGCUAGCCUUAUUUGAAUGAUCCUUGGACCUGAACUUUUGGA